rnacentral:rRNA from 1 species
AUUGAACGCUGGCGGCAUGCCUUACACAUGCAAGUCGAACGGCAGCACGGGUGCUUGCACCUGGUGGCGAGUGGCGAACGGGUGAGUAAUACAUCGGAACAUGUCCUGUAGUGGGGGAUAGCCCGGCGAAAGCCGGAUUAAUACCGCAUACGAUCCACGGAUGAAAGCGGGGGACCUUCGGGCCUCGCGCUAUAGGGUUGGCCGAUGGCUGAUUAGCUAGUUGGUGGGGUAAAGGCCUACCAAGGCGACGAUCAGUAGCUGGUCUGAGAGGACGACCAGCCACCUGGGGCCUGGGCCCGGGCCCAGCCCCCUACGGGGGGCGGAGGGGGGGAUUUUUGGAAAUUGGGCGAAAGCCUGACCCAGCAUUGCCGGGUGUGUAAAAAAGGCCUUCGGGUUGAAAAGCCCUUUUGUCCGGAAAAAAAUCCUUGACUCUAAAACAGUCGGGGGAUGACGGUCCCGGAAGAAUAAGCCCCGGCUAACUCCGG